UACGUAGGUGGCAAGCGUUGUCCGGAAUUAUUGGGCGUAAAGCGCGCGCAGGUGGUUUCUUAAGUCUGAUGUGAAAGCCCACGGCUCAACCGUGGAGGGUCAUUGGAAACUGGGGAACUUGAGUGCAGGAGAGAAGAGUGGAAUUCCACGUGUAGCGGUGAAAUGCGUAGAGAUGUGGAGGAACACCAGUGGCGAAGGCGGCUCUUUGGGCUGUAACUGACACUGAGGCGCGAAAGCGUGGGGAGCAAACAGG
rnacentral:rRNA from 1 species